AGUUAACAGAGAAGAUACCAUGCAAUGGUGCAGUAUUCCAUGGCCUAUCUACUGGGGGCACCAUUCUCAGCUAUUUCUUAUUCUGAUGUGAAUUCAAGCUUUUCUUUAGCCUAUCUCCCUCUGUCACUUGAAGCUACAUGAGGCAAGAAUUUUUUACUAUAGACUCAAUGCUGUAUCCUCAGCCCCUGAUGGGUACCCAGCACAUAGAAGAAAUUCUUGAGAAAGAAUAGACCUGUGAAAAUAAAUGUUUCUGCUACCAAAUGAAUCUGAUCGGCUUCUAGACACUUAUACACAACAUUACAUCAGGCUAUCAUCAGGAAUAUUAAUGUCAUGAAAGUGUUAAGAAAAAAAGUGGAGGAACUGUUUUGGAUUUUUAGAAGACUAAAGAGACAUAACAAGGGAAUGCAAUGCAUAUUCAUGAUAAA